rnacentral:lncRNA from 1 species
GCACUGCAGCCAGGUGGGGCGCGUAGAUGAUGGGGCAUGAGAUUAAGGAACCCGCGCUUCACCCCGCCCCCAACUUUGGGCUGUUUCUCUCCCAGGGCCCCGACCUUCCAGCUCUGGGGCUGCCGCCUGGGAGCAUGUUCUCCGUCCAACAAAUUCAACGCUGACUCGGCUUUUGUCACCUUCCCUUCCCCACACUCCACAACUGAUGCUUAAGCGGCGGCUGCCUUGCCCCCAAGAGGCCGAGGAUGGCAGAGGCCCCUACCACCACUGUGUCCCCACCCUUCGAUGGCACGGCUGAUGCUGUGUCAUCCACGUCGCCCUCCAAGGCGUCAGGGAAGCCACACGCAGUAUCUCUUUUUCUCAGAGAGCUCCUCUUUCAACGCCGAAAAGCAGGGGCCCUCCUCUGAGCUGCUCUCCAGCUCUAUGCUCCGGCUACCGCGCUUCGCCCUAGCUGCAGUGGCCCAAGGUAUCAUCCAGCCGAGAGAAACCAGGCCCGGGCUGUGCUUCCUCCAUAAAGCAGCUGACAUGUUUCCAACUGUUAAUACUUUUCCUACCGAGGUUCUGAAAAGUGGCCUGUUCUCGGCCUUUGGAAACAUCUUCAGACAAAUAAAGAAUGUUAACAUAUGAAGAAAAUGACAUCAUAAACCUCAAAUAUUACAUUGGAUUGUCAUACAAAGAUAACUUUUUAUAAGCAAGAUUUAUACUAGGCCACAAAAUGGUCACAUCCAUUAAGAAACUAUUCAUCCUUGAGGUAUGUAACAGCUAUUUGCUAGCAUAUCCUAGUUCCAAUUUGAGUUUUUGGUCUGCUUUUUGUUAUUUUUCCUCCCUCACUAUCUGGCUAUUCCCUGUUACUUCUUUCUGAACUCAGUGUGCCUGCCCAUAGCAAUCUCCUCUUCCCUUUCUUAUUGAGCGUUUCUAAUCUACAGUGGUUAGGAAACUGGAUAACCAACAUUGUUAGAAAUGUGUCAACAUAAGUGUGAGGACCAGCAUCUCCUUUUGCUGCCCAGAAGCCAAAAGUUGCUUAUUCCUGUUCCCAGUUGGGUUUCAGAUUGAUGAGUUGUUAGCAUACUUCUAAACUAUAAAAGUUGUUUCAAAGAUAUCAGAAUAUGAGGGAAGGUUAAAUAACUCAUCUAAGCCAACCUUCCUUCCAUGACAUAAGUUUAUUGCUUACUAGAAUUUUAAAAUGAUGUAACCUCAGGGGACACAGAAAGGGCCAGCCAUCCCUCCUCCUGCCUUAAGACAAGAAGGCAGAUGUUAGAAAAAACUGCUCCACUCUCACUGGAUGAAGUUUCUUUCUUUGCCUAAAAGACUUGUACUUAUAAUUCAAUAUUUGUUUCUUUGUAGGACAGAGCUCUUCAUUCACAAACCAGAGUAUAAGUAAGUGAAAUGAAUACUUCUUCAAAGUAGUCUUCAAAGUAGCAUGCAUGUGUACCUUUGUGUGUAAAAUUGAGACUGCACAGAACCAAAGGAAAAUUUCUCGGUUUCAGUUAAGUAGAGCCCCAAACCGUACGUGUAAGUGGAGACCACUGACACUGCUUUAGUAUUCCCAAUGACUCUGUCCACACUGCCAGGCCACUGGUCAUCUUGCUCACAGAAUAGGUCCCUAUGUUCCCAGGUCAAAGGAUCAGACAAGAAUUUUCAAGGGUAAAAAGUGCUGAAGAAGUUGUAGUAAAUCACACAACUCAAUAGCCGUGAAAAACCCUGACAAUUUGUGAACACUGAAAAUAACAAUGUGUAUAUCCUAACAGACAGAAAAUUCUCUCUCUUUCCCUCAGAAAGAAAGAAAGUCAUUAUCUAGUGCUUGCUUGUUAGCACAGUGACUAGGGAAUUAGGACAAUUUUACCCACUGCCUCCGACUUCCAUAAGGCAAUGGACUUAGCAGUUUCACACACAAUCUUAUACACACCUCAGGUAAGUAAAGGAGUACACGCUCAAAAAAUAACAUAUUUUAGGGGCCGGCCCCGUGGCUGAGUGGUUAAGUUCGCAUGUUCUGCUUCAGCGGCCCAGGGUUUCGCCGGUUUGGACCCUGGGCGUGGACAUGGCACCACUCAUCAGGCCACGUUGAGGUGGUGUCCCACAUGCCACAACUAGAAGGACCCACAACUAAAAUAUACAACUAUGUACUGGGGGGAUUUGGGGAGAAAAAGCAGAAAAAAAAAAGAAGAUUGGCAACAGCUGUUAGCUCAGGUGCCAAUCUUUAAAAAAAAAAAAGAUAUUUUAAAGUAUGGAGGCUGACUUAUGUUACUUCUUUAUGUUACUAAAGAAACUUGACAUUCAUUUACCCAUUCAGUCAACCAGCAAUUGGUAGACACUGAUGAUGUUCCAGGCUUCACGUAUAACAGUAAACAAAGCACAUAAGAUCCUUGCCCUGGUGGGUUUUACAGACUAAAGGUCUGUUGGGUUUCAAACAAUACAAUGUCAUGAAAACUUUAAAAGCUACACUGCAAGUUGCUUCCUCAGUGGGACCUUUUACAAUAAAGCCAGUGUAUGCCUCUGUUGUGGGCUGAAU